rnacentral:lncRNA from 1 species
AAAAUUCCAGGUUUUGGGGCUUUCUUGAUAUAUCAGAAGCACCUAUCUCAAAUUUUUCUUAAGUAAGAAUUAAUGGCCCAGAUGACAAUGAGAUUCCAUUACACACUUAUUAGCAUAGUUAAGAUGCAGAAUAUUAACAGUACCCAAUGCUGGUGAGGAUGUGGCUCAACAGAAACUCUUGUUCCUUGCUGGUAGGAGUGCAAAAUGGCACAACCACCCUGAAAGACAGUGUGGUAGUUUAUUAUUAUCAUUUUGUAGUGCUGGGAAUUGAACCCAGAGACUGAUGCAAGUUUGGAAAGUGCUCUUGGCAAUGUGCUCAUUGAGCUACAUCCCCAGUCCUGGUAGUUAAUUUUUAAAACUAAAGAAACUCUUAACUAUGUGAUUCUGCAGUCACACUCUGAUAUUUAUUCAACUGGGUUCAACCUGUUUGUUCUCACAAAAACUUGUGCAUAGAUGUUUAUGUCAGCUUUAUUCCUAACUGCCCAAACUCAGUAGCAAGUGGCCUUCAACAGGUGAAUGGAUAAACUAUAUCCCAGAUAAAUGGAAUAUAAUUCAGUCCUAAAAGAAAACAGGCUAUCAAGCCGUGAAUGACAUUGAGGAAACCUUGCGUGCAUCUUACUAAGUAAAAGCCAAUCUCUACAGCUACUACAUGAUUCUGAUACUUCCGGUUUUCUGUGAUGAGUCCUGCUUCCCCACAUGUUGAAGUUUGAACAUUAGAGAAGCGCGCUGGGGCAAACUUACGAAGCAGGGUUUAUUUAAAACGGGGGAACAUAGGGUUGGGGCUGCGGCUCAGCGGUAGAGCACUGGUUUAGCACGGUGAGG